GAUGAAGAACGUAGCGAAAUGCGAUACGUAAUGUGAAUUGCAGAAUUCAGUGAAUCAUCGAAUCUUUGAACGCACAUUGCGCCUGCCAGCACUCUGGCAGGCAUGCCUGUUCGAGCGUCAUUUCAACCAUCAAGCCCUAGGCUUGCGUUGGAGCCCUGCGGCUGCCGCAGGCCCCUAAAAGCAGUGGCGGGCUCGCUAUCACACCGAGUGCAGUAGAUUACUCUUCGCUCAGGGCGUGUGGCGGGUUCCAGCCGUGAAACCCCCUACUUCUCAAGGUUGACCUCGGAUCAGGUAGGAAUACCCGCUGAACUUAAGCAUAUCAAUAAGCUGAGGA
rnacentral:misc_RNA from 1 species